GACGAACGCUGGCGGCGUGCUUAACACAUGCAAGUCGAACGGAAAGGCCCUGCUUGCAGGGUACUCGAGUGGCGAACGGGUGAGUAACACGUGGGUGAUCUGCCCUGCACUUCGGGAUAAGCCUGGGAAACUGGGUCUCAUACCGGAUAGGAGCCAUUUUUAGUGUGAUGGUUGGAAAGUUCUUUCGGUGUAGGAUGAGCUCGCGGCCUAUCAGCUUGUUGGUGGGGUAAUGGCCUACCAAGGCGGCGACGGGUAGCCGGCCUGAGAGGGUGGACGGCCACAUUGGGACUGAGAUACGGCCCAGACUCCUACGGGAGGCAGCAGUGGGGAAUAUUGCACAAUGGGCGCAAGCCUGAUGCAGCGACGCCGCGUGGGGGAUGACGGCCUUCGGGUUGUAAACUCCUUUCGCUAGGGACGAAGCUUUUUGUGACGGUACCUAGAUAAGAAGCACCGGCUAACUACGUG
rnacentral:rRNA from 1 species